rnacentral:rRNA from 1 species
AUUGAACGCUGGCGGCAUGCCUUACACAUGCAAGUCGAACGGUAGAGUAGCAAUACUUGAGAGUGGCGAACGGGUGAGUAAUAUAUCGGAACGUACCUAGUAAUGGGGGAUAACGUAGCGAAAGUUACGCUAAUACCGCAUACGUCCUAAGGGAGAAAGCAGGGGAAUCGAAAGAUCCUUGCGUUAUUAGAGCGGCCGAUAUCGGAUUAGCUAGUUGGUGAGGUAAAGGCUCACCAAGGCAACGAUCCGUACCUGGUCUGAGAGGACGACCAGGCACACUGGAACUGAGACACGGUCCAGACUCCUACGGGAGGCAGCAGUGGGGAAUUUUGGACAAUGGGGGCAACCCUGAUCCAGCCAUGCCGCGUGCAGGAUGAAGGCCUUCGGGUUGUAAACUGCUUUUGUUAGGAACGAAAAGGUAGGCAAUAACACUGCUUACUGCUGACGGUACCUAAAGAAUAAGCACCGGCUAACUACGUGCCAGCAGCCGCGGUAAUACGUAGGGUGCAAGCGUUAAU